GAUGAACGCUAGCGGCAGGCUUAACACAUGCAAGUCGAGGGGUAUAUCACUUCGGUGAUAGAGACCGGCGCACGGGUGCGUAACGCGUAUGCAAUCUACCUUUUACAGGAGAAUAGCCCAGAGAAAUUUGGAUUAAUGCCCCAUAGUAUAUUUGAAUGGCAUCAUUUGAUUAUUAAAGUCACAACGGUAAAAGAUGAGCAUGCGUCCCAUUAGUUAGUUGGUAAGGUAACGGCUUACCAAGACGAUGAUGGGUAGGGGUCCUGAGAGGGAGAUACCGCACACUGGUACUGCGACACGGACCGGACUCCUACGGGAGGCAGCAGUGAGGAAUAUUGGUCAAUGGGCGCAAGCCUGAACCAGCCAUGCCGCGUGCAGGAUGACGGUCCUAUGGAUUGUAAACUGCUUUUAUACGGGAAGAAACACCGAUUCGUGAAUCGGCUUGACGGUACCGUAAGAAUAGGGAUCGGCUAACUCCGUGCCAGCCGCCGCCGUAACAC
rnacentral:rRNA from 1 species